UUAGAUCGUACCCACAUUUACUUGGAUAACUGUGGUAAUUCUAGAGCUAAUACAUGCAAACAGAGUUCCGACCGGAGACGGAAGGAGCGCUUUUAUUAGAUCAAAACCGAUCGGUGGUGGAUUUAUUUCCAUCAUCGUACAAUUUGAUGAAUCUGAAUAACUUUAAGCUGAUCGCACGGUCUAGCACCGGCGACGCAUCUUUCAAAUGUCUGCCUUAUCAACUGUCGAUGGUAGGUUCUGCGCCUACCAUGGUUGUAACGGGUAACGGGGAAUCAGGGUUCGAUUCCGGAGAGGGAGCCUGAGAAACGGCUACCACAUCCAAGGAAGGCAGCAGGCGCGCAAAUUACCCACUCCCGGCACGGGGAGGUAGUGACGAAAAAUAACGAUACGGGACUCAUCCGAGGCCCCGUAAUCGGAAUGAGUACACUCUAAACCCUUUAACGAGGAUCAAUUGGAGGGCAAGUCUGGUGCCAGCAGCCGCGGUAAUUCCAGUUCCAAUAGCGUAUAUUAAAGUUGUUGCGGUUAAAAAGCUCGUAGUCGAAUUUGUGUCUCGCACCGCCGGUUCAUCGUUCGCGGUGUUAACUGGCGUGCCGUGGGACGUCCUGCCGGUGGGCUUAGCCUGAGAGGGCGGCCCAAAUCAAUCCUGCCGCGGUGCUCUUCAUUGAGUGUCGAGGUGGGCCGGCACGUUUACUUUGAACAAAUUAGAGUGCUUAAAGCAGGCUAAAAUUUCGCCUGAAUACUGUGUGCAUGGAAUAAUGGAAUAGGACCUCGGUUCUAUUUUGUUGGUUUUCGGAACCCCGAGGUAAUGAUUAAUAGGAACGGAUGGGGGCAUUC
rnacentral:rRNA from 1 species